UUUUAAUUUGAGGYUGGUNUGAAAGGUCGGACGAAGGAUUGGCUGUUUCCAAGUAAAUAAUUAGAAUUUAACUUUUAAGUGAAAAGGCUUAAAUAUCCCAAAAAGACGAUAAGACCCUAUAAAUCUUAACAUAAAACCUUACACUAUCUUCAAUUAUUCUUAUAAAAGAAAGAGUAAUAAAUAUGUUCUGUUGGGGCAACAAAGAUAUAUAAAAAUAAACUGUUUUCAAACUCAAACAAAAAUCAUUGACCUUAAAUUGAUCCUUUUUCAAGAUUAAAAAACUAAGUUACUUUAGGGAUAACAGCGUUAUUCUUUUUGAGAGUUCUCAUCGAAAAAAGAGUUUGCGACCUCGAUGUUGAAUUAAAAAAUCU
rnacentral:rRNA from 1 species